GCGGAAGGAUCAGUAGAGAAUGCUGGGCUUCGGUCCAUUUAUCUACCCAUCUACACCUGUGGGCUGUUUAUGUGCUUCGGCACGUUUUACACAAACUUCUAAAUGUAAUGAAUGUAAUCUUAUUAUAACAAUAAUAAAACUUUCAACAACGGAUCUCUUGGCUUCCACA
rnacentral:misc_RNA from 1 species